rnacentral:tRNA from 1 species
GCGAGAGUAGCUCAGCUGGUAGAGCACCACCUUGCCAAGGUGGAUGUCGUCCCGACUGAGUCGGGAUCUCUCGCG